GAUGAACGCUGGCGGCGUGCCUAAUACAUGCAAGUCGAGCGAACAGACGAGGCGCUUGCUCCUCUGACGUUAGCGACGGACGGGUGAGUAACACGUGGAUAACCUACCUAUAAGACUUGGAUAACUUCGGGAAACCGGAGCUAAUACCGGAUAAUAUAUUGAACCGCAUGGUUCAAUAGUGAAAGACGGUUUUGCUGUCACUUAUCGAUGGAUCCGCGCCGCAUUAGCUAAUUGGUAAGGUAACGGCUUACCAAGGCAACGAUGCGUAGACGACCUGAGAGGGUGGUCGGCCACACUGGAACGGAGACACGGUCCAGACUCCGACGGGAGGCAGCAGUAGGGAAUCUUCCGCAGUGGGCGAAAGCCUGACGGAGCAACGCCGCGUGAGUGAUGAAGGUCUUCGGAUCGUAAAACUCUGUUAUUAGGGAAGAACAAAUGUGUAAGUAACUAUGCACGUCUUGACGGUACCUAAUCAGAAAGCCACGGCUAACUACGUG
rnacentral:rRNA from 1 species